UAAUGAUUCACUUUAUAAAUAAGAUGAAACAAAAUGUUAUAUAAUUUCUUCAUUAUUCUAGUAGCAAUCUACAAUAAAACUUAAUGUUUAAACAAUUUCUUAUGCUUUUUUACUCAAACCUUUUACAAUUUUGUAAUUAAUUUAUAAAUCAAAAUAACUCGAAGAAAUGCAUAUACAAAUUUGUGACAUACUAGCCUCCUGUAGUCCCUAUUUAAUCAUCAAUUUUCAGAUACUUUGGGGGUUAGAAAAAAAUAUAGAAGAUACUGUUAAAGGGCAAGAUUCCACAGUUAUGCUGCUAAGAAACACAUGUUUAGUAGCUAACUGCUCCGUGUAAUAAAAAGGCAGUGAGUAUUCACUUUUUUAAAAUGUGUCAUCAUGGAGUAUGCAAUAUAGGCAUCUGUGUGUUCCUGAAGUGUAUUCCAUGCCUGCUCAACUGAGUUUUCCUGUGAGCCAUUCCAGCAUUGUUUCAGGGGAAGAAAAAUAUUGUGACAUCUCUUCAGAUAUGUUUGCAAACAUUGUUAGUUCAUAGUAAUGAAGAGAUUCAUUAAAAUGAAAAUCACUAAGAGCCCCUUGAGAUUUGUCUUAGAAAAUGGUUAAAAAUCCUCCCGAGCUGCUGGGUUUCCACCAGCCUUUCUUUUUCUUCACCUCCUGCCUUACAGAUGUAACACAUUGUCCAUAGGGACCCUGGAGAAGGACCCUGGCAUAGCUCACUCCCUGCUCCCCAUCCCGGAAGCUCCUCUGCGGUCUGGGUUGACUCUUCUCAGAGCCUGAGACUGUGUAACUGACAUCAGUGUGUUUCUUAGUGUCCAGCUUUAACAUGCCGAAUGCCCAGGAAUGGAAAGAUGGCUUUCCUAUGAGGAAGUAAAAUUUUGAAAACUGUUUGUCUCUACCAUCUAGUCCACCUGUGUGUGACAACGUAGAGUUGAGGUGCUACUGGCCCUUCCGGUUCAACUAACUUAGCGAAGCUGCUGAUGAAGCUGAAGAUGAGACCAAGAGGAGCGACUCAAUAAAAUUCAUAGAAACAGAUUGGGGGUGGAGGGGCGAGGAGUGU
ensembl:lncRNA